rnacentral:lncRNA from 1 species
GGCAUCGACCUUAGUUUGUGUGUAUCUUUUUUGUAGGGACAAGGGAGAUAUAAGUAGAAGAGCAGAAAAAGAGGCAGUAGCCCGUUUAUGUGACGAAUAUGGUAAAAAAAAAUCUAUGCAUGUUAGCCUUAAGCAUCCAGCUUCGCAUCUUUAAUUUUCUUUACAAACCAUUGUUCAUUCUCGUGAUCUUUUCGUCCUUUUGAAGUGAGACCACAGCUCAGGGACUGCAUUCAGGUGGUAGCCGAGGUAGAGGACAGGGGGUGGAGAGGGAGAACCUCAGGGGCCGCCAAUAGCUACGGUCCACUGCUGCGCGCUCAUCUUGGGCAGCGGUAUUUACGGUAAAGGAGGGGGCGGGAGAGGGGGAGGGGGGACCGCCAGAGCUGUCCGUUCUCCCUCCGUGUCAGGUGAUCUCGAGCUAGGAGCCGAGCCCAGCCGAGCCGUGUAGCUGCCGCUGCUCCUGCUGCCUAAGGAAAAUGCAAAAUGGCACAUUGGGGAUGUGAGGGAUUCUGCCACUCGCUUUCGCGGCCCAGAUCCACCGCAUCCUCUCUCCGCAGUUCGCGGGCAAGCAUGCGGCUGUAGGUCCCUGCCGGGCUGUCCCCGGGUAUCCUAGCCAAAGUGGUGGUGAUUCGGCAGCGGCUGCUGCCGGAGCAGGGGGGGGGGGGGGGGGGGGGGGGGGGGGGGGGGGGGGGGGGGGGGGGGGGGGGGGGGGGGGGGGGGGGGGGGGGGGGGGAGACCGACGAGAGAAGGUGUUUCCUCUCGGCUCCCCCCCACCCCGAACCCCCCUCCCCUGCCUUCUCCUCCUCUUCCUCCUUUUCCUCUUCCCCCUCCCCCUCCCUGCCUCCUCCCCCUCUUCUGCCUUCUCCUCCUCCUCCUCCUCCCCUUUUACCUCCUCCUCCUCCUCCUCUGGCUCCCCACACCCCGCUCCAUAGUGAAACAUGGGACUGUGCUACAGUCUGCGGCCACGGCUCUUUGGGGAUCCCAGCGGCUCCACUUCCAAUGCCACGACCUCGGAAUCGGAGCCGCCACCACCGCAGCAGCAGCAACAGCAACAGCUGCCCCAGCAGCAACCGGACCGCACCGCCCUGCCACCACUAAGCUCCGGGGAGCUUCGCCGUCCCGGGGACCCACGGACAGCGGCUGCGAUCAGGGUUGGGAGUGGAGAAGGUGGCGGUGGUAGCAGCAACGGUGGAGGUUGCGUGGGGGAAGCGGUGGUGUCAACAGCAGCUGCAGGGUCGCUCAGCCACGGGGACGUCGCGGGCAAGCAGCUGUGCGUCGGGGACCGGGACGGAGCGCUAGUCCUGCAGAACGGUGGCGGUGGCAGCGGCAGCGCUGGGAAUGGGGCGGCGGAAAGGCAGCAGAAGCACCCGCAGCAGCCCAAGCAGCAGCCCAAGCAGCAGCCGCCGAAGCAGCAACAGAAGCAGCAGCAGCCUUCGAAGCAGCAGCAGCAGAAACAGCAACAGCAAAAACAGCAGCAGCAGAAACAGCAGCAGCAGAAGCACGGCAAGCAGAAGCAGCAGCCGCUCAAGCAGCACUGGGACAAACUGCGCGUGGAGGAACGUGAGGCCGAGAGGGAAGCGAAGAAAGUGAGCAAGAGCAUCGACCGGGCGCUCAAGGAGCAGAAGAGGGAGUACAAACAGACUCACAGACUUCUCUUACUGGGCGAGAUGACAAACGGAUUGGAUUCCAUGGGACUACAACAACCAACCAGGAGGUCAAAAAUUUUAUGGAGCAAUGACCUAGAUAUUUUCAUAUACAUCAUAAUUGGUAAUUGA